rnacentral:rRNA from 1 species
UACGGGGGGGGCAAGCGUUGUCCGGAAUUAUUGGGCGUAAAGAGCUCGUAGGCGGUUCGUCGCGUCGGCUGUGAAAACCCGGAGCUCAACUCCGGGCCUGCAGUCGAUACGGGCGGACUUGAGUGUUGCAGGGGAGACUGGAAUUCCUGGUGUAGCGGUGAAAUGCGCAGAUAUCAGGAGGAACACCGGUGGCGAAGGCGGGUCUCUGGGCCGAUACUGACGCUGAGGAGCGAAAGCGUGGGGAGCGAACAGG